GUAGGUGGCAAGCGUUGUCCGGGAAUUAUUGGGGCGUAAAGCGCGCGCAGGCGGUUCUUUAAGUCUGAUGUGAAAGCCCACGGGCUCAACCGUGGAGGGUCAUUGGAAACUGGAGAACUUGAGUACAGAAGAGGAAAGCGGAAUUCCACGUGUAGCGGUGAAAUGCGUAGAGAUGUGGAGGAACACCAGUGGCGAAGGCGGCUUUCUGGUCUGUAACUGACGCUGAUGCGCGAAAGCGUGGGGAGCAAACAGGAUUAGAUACCCUGGUAGUCCACGCCGUAAACGAUGAGUGCUAAGUGUUAGGGGGUUUCCGCCCCUUAGUGCUGCAGCUAACGCAUUAAGCACUCCGCCUGGGGAGUACGGCCGCAAAGGCUG
rnacentral:rRNA from 1 species